rnacentral:rRNA from 1 species
CCUACGGGUGGCUGCAGUGGGGGAUAUUGGACAAUGGGGGGAACCCUGAUCCAGCGACGCCGCGUGAGUGAAGAAGUCUUUCCGUAUGUAAAGCUCUGUCAGCAGGGAAGCAAGACAUGACGGUACCUCACCACUAAGCCCCGGCUAACUACGUGCCAGCAGCCGCUGUAAUACAUAGGGGGCAAGCGUUAUCCGGAAUUACUGGGUGUAAAGGGAGCGUAGACGGUUAAGUAAGUCUGGAGUGAAAGGCCGGGGCCCAACCCCGGGACUGCUCUGGAACCUAUUGAACUGGAGUGCAGGAGAGGUAAGCGGAAUGCCUAGUGUAGCGGUGAAAUGCGUAGAUAUUAGGAGGAACACCAGUGGCGAAGGCGGCUUACUGGACUGUAACUGACGUUGAGGCUCGAAAGCGUGGGGAUCGAACAGGAUUAGAUUCCCUAGUAGUC